GACGAACGCUGGCGGCGUGCUUAACACAUGCAAGUCGAACGGAAAGGCCCUGCUUUUGUGGGGUGCUCGAGUGGCGAACGGGUGAGUAACACGUGAGUAACCUGCCCUUGACUUUGGGAUAACUUCAGGAAACUGGGGCUAAUACCGGAUAGGAGCUCCUGCUGCAUGGUGGGGGUUGGAAAGUUUCGGCGGUUGGGGAUGGACUCGCGGCUUAUCAGCUUGUUGGUGGGGUAGUGGCUUACCAAGGCUUUGACGGGUAGCCGGCCUGAGAGGGUGACCGGCCACAUGGGGACUGAGAUACGGCCCAGACUCCUACGGGAGGCAGCAGUGGGGAAUAUUGCACAAUGGGCGGAAGCCUGAUGCAGCAACGCCGCGUGCGGGAGGACGGCCUUCGGGUGGUAAACCGCUUUCGCCUGUGACGAAGCGUGAGUGACGGUAAUGGGGAAAGAAGCACCGGCUAACUACGU
rnacentral:rRNA from 1 species